CACGAACGCUGGCGGCAGGCUUAACACAUGCAAGUCGAGCGCCCCGCAAGGGGAGCGGCAGACGGGUGAGUAACGCGUGGGAAUCUACCCAUCUCUACGGAAUAACGCAUGGAAACGUGUGCUAAUACCGUAUACGUCCUUCGGGAGAAAGAUUUAUCGGAGAUGGAUGAGCCCGCGUUGGAUUAGCUAGUUGGUGGGGUAAAGGCCUACCAAGGCGACGAUCCAUAGCUGGUCUGAGAGGAUGAACAGGCACACUGGGACUGAGAAACGGCCCAGACUCCUACGGGAGGCAGCAGUGGGGAAUAUUGGACAAUGGGCGCAAGCUUGAUCCAGCCAUGCCGCGUGAGUGAUGAAGGCCCUAGGGUUGUAAAGCUCUUUCACCGGUGAAGAUAAUGACGGUAACCGGAGAAGAAGCCCCGGCUAACUUCGUGCCAGCCGCCGCAGUAAUAC
rnacentral:rRNA from 1 species